AUUGAACGCUGGCGGCAGGCCUAACACAUGCAAGUCGAACGAGUGGCGGACGGGUGAGUAAUGUCUGGGAAACUGCCCGAUGGAGGGGGAUAACUACUGGAAACGGUAGCUAAUCCCGCAUACCAUCGGAUGUGCCCAGAUGGGAUUAGCUAGUGGGUGGGGUAACGGCUCACCUAGGCGACGAUCCAUAGCUGGGCGGCGGGGAUGAACAGCCACACUGGAACUGAGACACGGUCCAGACUCCUACGGGCGGCAGCAGGGGGGAAUAUUGCACAAUGGGCGCAAGCCUGAUGCAGCCAUGCGGCGUGUAUGAAGAAGGCCUUCGGGUUGUAAAGUACUUUCAGCGAGGAGGCGUUACUCGCAGAAGAAGCACCGGCUAACUCCGUGCCAGCAGCCGCGGUAAUUC
rnacentral:rRNA from 1 species